GAGAGACAGAGAAAGAGAUGGCGGAGAGACAGAGUUCUAUCCACUAGUUCACUCCCCAAGUAGCCACAUGGCUAGAGCUGGGCCAGCCUGGAGCCAAGAGCUUCUUCCGGGUCUCCCACAUAGGUGCAAGGGCCCCAACACUUCGGCCAUCUUCAGUUGCUUUCCCAGGCACGUUAGCAGGGAGUUGGACUGGAAGUGGAGCAGCCAGAACUUGACCCAGCACUCAUAUGGCAUGUGGGCACUGCAGAGGACUUGACCUGCUGAGCCACAGUGCCAGCCCUGAAAUUCACAUUUAAAAAACCCUGUAUACCCUUUCACAUGCAAAAAUCUGAAAGGGCCAACAUCCACCAUUUUCAGCAGAAUCUUCCUGAGACCCACCUAUCAGACUCACCAGGGAUCAGUAACACAUCUCUCACAGCAUCUAACUUCCCAGCAAAGGCACCCUCUGCUCUAACCCUCCAGCCGUGCAGGAGCCAGGCUGGACAUCGGUGUCUGUGGAAUUUCGAAACACACGUCGUGAACAGAAUACUGUGAAGCAUCUUUUAUUUAGUCAUUUUUGUUUACAACUGGAA